GUUUUAAUAGUUUAACAAAAACGUUGGUCUUGUAAACCAAAAAUAAGAUUAAAUCUUUUAAAACU
rnacentral:tRNA from 1 species